AGUAGUUUUGAAUGUUUAGGAGACUAACAGUUACGGUUUAAUUAUUGGUCUGUGCACACAUCUGUUAGUGCCGUGUUGAGCAAGGCAUUUAUUUAAGAAAAUGUGUCGCGUUAAAAAUAGUUCAACCUUUGGUACCGUGCCUCUGGACACCUGCCUUCUGUUCCAGGCUGUAUUUGGUAGCAGGAGUGUGUCCUAUUUCAGCAACCGUUAAGAAACCUGUCUGAUGAACAUGACUCUAACAUUACAUGGCUUCCUUAAGAGCAUCCCGUCCGCUGGAGCGGAGUUGUUAUCGAACCUCAAGGAUAUAAGACCUUUAGUUUAGUUUGAGGAACAAAACAUUUAAAAAAAUGUAUCUAGUCUGUGUGUGUCUGUCUGUCUGUGUGUGUGUUAGGGCUGUGCGAUUAAUCAAAAUCAAUCGAAAUCAUGAUUUGAGACAUUGGGAUUUGCUUAUCGCAAAAGCCUGCGAUGUAGACACAAUAUUACUGUGUUCCAGAUCAUAUGCUUGACUGCCAGCCUUGAGUGACAGUCUUUCUAACCAAUAGAGUGAGCACUUCUCUGUUCUACCCAAUCAGACCUUCUACCAAAUCACAAUAUCUGUCAAAAAAAAUCAAAAUUAGAUAUUUUCCCCAUAUCACACAGCCCUAGUGUGUGUGUGUGUGUCUGGUGUAGAGUUAAGGUGAGUUGUGUGUGUGUGUGUGUGUGUCUGGUGUAGAGUUAAAGUGAGGUGUGUGUGUGUGUGGUGUAGAGUUAAGGUGAGUUGUGUGUGUGUGUGUGUGUGUGUCUGGUGUAGAGUUAAGGUGAGUUGUGUGUGUGUGUGUGUGUGUGUCUGGUGUAGAGUUAAGGUGAGUUGUGUGUGUGUGUCUGGUGUAGAGUUAAAGUGAGGUGUGUGGUGUAGAGUUAAGGUGAGUUGUGUGUGUGUGUCUGGUGUAGAGUUAAAGUGAGGUGUGUGUGUGUGUGUGGUGUAGAGUUAAGGUGAGUUGUGUGUGUGUGUGUGUGUCUGGUGUAGAGUUAAGGUGAGUUGUGUGUGUGUGUGUGUGGUGUAGAGUUAAGGUGAGG